UUCAGUUCAGUUCAUAAUGAGGUAUACACUCCAGCUGUCCCAGUUUACAAGGACAGUCCUGAUUAAUCCUCGUCCCACUUUUUCCAGCUGCUUUUAAAAUGACCUAGUUUCUAUCUCCUCCCACUUUCCCCCUUUGUAGUCACUUACUACAAUUACUACAGAGUUCAAAAAGAGUUUGCACUCAACUCAGCAGGGAAAAGAGGAGGAUUUUCCUCUGCUUCUCUGAAGAUUUAGGCAAAGGCAAGCUGCUGCAAGUCUCCUAACUUGUGAGUUCUUCCUUUUGACAUCUUGACCACACUCUGAUGUUGCUGGGCCAUACGCAUCCCUUUGUUAUUAUCUAUGGAAUAUUGAAUGGAAUUUCUACGUUCUCCAGUGUGACUCUACAAUCAACUUUUCCCAGUCCUGUUGGAAGACCUAGCGAUUUCUAGAGAAAACACCCAUUGAGGAAUCUCUAAGUGCUCCAAUGUGGUGCCUUUUUUCCCCUCAAACUUUUCCUUCUAGCGGCUGCCUCCCUCCUGGACUCCCCUUGUAACCGAAUGCACCCAGUUUUUGACAACCACUGUUCUGUUGUUGCCAAAACAAACAAACAAACAAACAAACAAAAAACAUGAAGACUGAGCUCUUGCUGUUACGGCCAUCUGAACAAAGCAAACAAGCCAGAUCAGCCGAAGGGAACCGUCCAAUCUGAAUCCGUGCACAAGGCUAGUAUGAACUUUUGCAACUGAAGAAGUGGGUUGAAAUUCACAAGCGUUGGUGCUGAAAUAUAAACCAAUUAGUCUUCAAGAGGCAACCUGAUUCCUUUAUUCCCCCCUGCAACAGGCUGGGAGGUCUACUUCUAUGAGGAUGAACACUUUUCAUUUUCAAAAGAAAGCUGCAUCAACAGCUGACCUCCUUCCUUCUUUGUUGCUUUACUGAAGGAAAUUCAAAGGGAAAGGAGGGAGGAGAGGAGAGGAGAGGAGAUAGGCAAAAUGUCUCUUGUCCAGCUCAUGUUCCACAGAGCCAUUUCCUUCACCCAGGCAAUAAAGGCCAGGCUACCUCUAUGCAGAUACCCCCACUGAUUGACUUUGCAAACUUCAUGGCUAUUCAAAUGCUAAUUCAAGCUUGCUAAUUGCAACAUUCACAUUUGCUUUAAAUAGACAAGAGUUCUUUCUCUCACCCUGGACAUUCCACACACCACUUGCCUUACUGCCAACAGAACCUUUGGAGAUGCCAGCCACAGAAGCAGGUGAAACGUCAGGAGAGAAUGCUGCUGGAACAUGGCCAUAUAACCCGAAAAACUCAUAGCAACCCAGUCAAACAAUACCUGGAGGACCACCAGCAUAGAUCAUUUGUUCUCCUGUCUUUGCUUUCCUCACAAUAGCCUUAUGGGAUAGAAACAGUUGAGAAAAAAUGGCUGCUCAUCCAGUGAGUUUCAUGUUUCAGUCGAGACAAGGACAUGGAUUUCCCAAGUUCCAGCCCUACUGUUAUAUCGCACUAGCUCUUCCAGUGAGAUUUGUGGGGCGAUUUGAGCAAAGAGGAAAUUUAAACCACUUUGUGGGGAAUUUGGGAGAACUAUGUUCUGCUCCUGACUGGAAAAGUCUAUUUCAUCAUUAACACUCCUAUUAUAAAGCUAUCAGUUCCUUUCAAUAUCUUCUUGUCUUUGGCUUCUCUUUCCAAUCCUCUAAAUUGUCAAGAAUAAUUCUGCUUUGCUCGAAGGCAGCUUUCCCCUUCAUUUUGUAUAUUGUGCCAUGUGCUGAGCUGCUAUUUUAAAUUGAAGUCUCUAUCCCAUGGUCUGAUUUCCCUUCUUCAGUUAUUUCGAGGCGUUCCUUUUAAUUAGUCCUGUCAUCUGCGCAGGGAAGGAAACUUCCUUGCACUUUACACUCAGCAUUCAGUUGCCAUGCCAAUACAGUGAGAUGGUUCUCACCCUAAAAGCUGUUAUUUUCCACUUCCCCUGGCUCCAGGCCAGAGCCCUAUAGAAUGCAAAUUCUUCAUUUGGCUUCACUACUGCCUUUUAUGCAGGAUCAUUGGCCCCAUGAACUUCCGUAUGAAGUAAUCUGGAAAAAAACAUACCCUAUCAGAAUUUCUUAUGGCUGAUCUUUACUUAUUUAGGUGAUCCCUCAUUAUCGGAGGAUGAUGGUCCUCCAAGUGUAGUGUCUUGACAGCGGAUACGUAGGUGACUGUAGAGCCCUAUUCUUCACCCGCAUGUUCUUCUGCAGGAGCCCGGUGGCAAAGUGUGUUAAAGCACUGAGCUGCUGAACUUGCAGACCGAAAGGUCCCAGGUUCAAAUCCCGGGAGUGGUGUGAGUGCCCGCUGUUGCUCCAGCUUCUGCCAACCUAGUAGUUCGAAAACAUGCCAAUGUGAGUAGAUCAAUAGGUACCACUCUGGCGGGAAGGUAAUGGCGCUCCAUGCAGUCAUGCCAGCCACAUGACCUUGGAGGUGUCUACGGACAACGCCGGCUCUUCGGCUUAGAAAUGGAGAUGAGCACCAACCCCCAGACUCAGACAUGACUGGACUUAAAGUCAGGGGAAACAUUUACCUAUGUUCUUCUGCAGUGAGGGCAUCGGAUUCCAGAUGGAAGGUGGUCCCAGUCAGGGUUGGCUUGAUGCGCCUUCCUCUUGUACUGUUUCUCCCUUUCGCUCUCCAUUCAUGCUGGCUUCCCAGUUCUUGUCUAUGCCACAGUUUUUAAGGUUAGCGUUAAGCCCAUCUUUAAAUCUCUUUCCCUGUCCACCAACAUUACAUUUCCCGUUCUUGAGUUGGGAGUAGAGUAACUGCUUUGUCCUUCGCCUAUGUCUGAUCUACAUUGUAGAAUUAAUGCACUUUGAUGUCACUUUUGACUAUCGUGGUUUAAUGCUAUAGAAUCUUAGGAGUUAUAGUUUUACAAGGUCUUUAGCUUCCUCUGGCAAAGACUGCUGGUCCCUCACCAAACUAUACUUCCAUGAGAAUGAUUUCCCUGCAGUUCAUAUCAGCAGCUUUGAGUCAGUCUGGCUAGGAUAGGGUCAUAAUUCAAAGAAGCAACAAGUAAUUUUAGCCAUUUUUUCCUCUCUAUUGCAAGGAAAUUUUCAAAAACUACAUUUUCCGGAGACUAUUACCAGUUUAGAACUUUGAGUUGCUGUGAGUUUUCAGGGCUGUCUGUGUCAGCGGGGAUGAUGGGUAGCGGGGAUGAUGAGUGAGAUCCAAAAAAUUCACCAUCCCGGUUCACCUCCUUCUCUCCAGACUGUUUUCCCGUGUGAAAAACAGCACUGGAUAAACUCACUCCAGCAGACGAAGUCCAACUGUUGAUUAAACUUUAUUUACAUGAUCUAUAUACAAAUAGAGUCAAUUCAGUCCUUUCCUCCAUGAGUGCUUGCCGAAAGCACCCAUGCACACACACAGCACAUUGCUCAUCGCUGUUCUCUGUUCUACACAGGAAAACUAACUCCCCUGCAUUCCACAGGAACCAAGAUAGUAAGUCCCGGUCAAAACACACUUGACCCCAUUGGUCCUGUGAUACAUCAAUCAUAGCAGACUCUCAUUAACUCCAUAAUUGCUGAAUCCAGAUUGAUUUUAACAUUUCACAAUACACAAUACCCUGACAGUCUGGCCAUGCUCCAGAAGCAUUUUCUCCUGAUGUUUUGUUUUGCCCACAUCUAUGGCAGGCAUCCUCAGAGAUUUUGAGGUCUGUUGGAAACUAUGCAAGUGUGGUUUAUAUAUCAGUUCAAUGCUUAGGGUGGGAGAAAAAACUCUUGUAUGCUUGAGGCAAGUGUGAAUGUUGCAAUUAGCCACCUUGAUUGGCAUUGAAUGGCCUUUCAGCUUCAAAGCCUGGCUGCUUCCUGCCUGGAGAAAUCCUUAGCUGGGAGGUGUUAGCUGGCCCUGAUUGUUUCAUGCCUGGAAUUCCUCUGUUGUUCUUUAUUUACUGUCCUGGUUUUGAUUAAUUCAACCAGAGAGGUCAGCCAUAGCAGAGCACUUGAUGAACCAACCCGGACACAGCAUAUUAUUGGAGAACACAGAAAUGCUGGACCACUCCAACAACAACUACAGUAGAGUCUCACUUAUCCAACACUCACUUAUCCAACGUUCUGGAUUAUCCAACGCAUUUUUGUAGUCAAUGUUUUCAAAAUAUCGUGAUAUUUUGGUGCUAAACUCAUAAAUACAGUAAUUACUACAUAGCAUUACUGCGUAUUGAACUACUUUUUCUGCCAAAUUUGUUGUCUAACAUGAUGUUUUGGUGCUUCAUUUGUAAAAUCAUAACCUAAUUUGAUGUUUAAUAGGCUUUUCCUUAAUGCCUCCUUAUUAUCCAACAUAUUCGCUUAUCCAACAUUCUACUGGCCCGUUUAUGUUGGAUAAGUGAGACUCUACUGUAUGUCAAACUACACAGAGAAGCCAUUGAAAUCCACAAGCAUGUGGAUAAUUUCAACAGAAAGGAGGAAACCAUGAAAAUGAACAAAAUCUGGCUACCAGCAUUAAAAAAAACUCUAAAAUUAGGACAUUACAUAAAGAACAACUCACAGUAAAUAAACGCACAGCAACUCAAUUCAUUUUCAACCUACGUGUCUCAUUCAGCUGUGAAAAUAUCAACUGCUAAAUAAUGGAUUCCCUAUAAACUUAUUUGUUUACAUCCAUUUUUCUACCUGUCUGAAAUUUGGCUGGGUCAAUCCCCUCUUUUGGGUUCAUCACAUCAAAAUCUGAGGCAAGUGUGAUUUUUUAAAAAAAAAUCCCUAUAGCUCUUUUGAUUUCCAACAUAACACAGCGUGAAAGAACUGGAGAUUUCGAUUUUCAAAUCCUCUUUGGGUUUGAUGUCCAUACUGAAUUGGUCCCAGUUAAAUCAGCCUUCAGACUAGAUGCGCACAGACUCAUUUUCAUGUCAGCUUCUGAGAAAGGCUUGCAAUAUCUCUGGGAGACAGAUGUGGCCAUAAAAAUUUCAGCAGUAAUGAUCUUUUUGCUUUUCGCUGAGCAAUGUAAGAGGUAACAACAGGUGUCCUUGUGGUGGAAAGAAUGAUGUAUUUCCAUUGCCCAAUUUUAUAGAAAUUACUGGAGUGCAUUCCCAGCCAACUUUUCAGUCCUCAAGGCCAACUUGAAGAAUGGGAUGUCAUACAGACAUCAUGAGGCUGGGAUUCAAGCAAAAAAAGAGUGAGGUGGAUAAUGAAAAGUACUCAUUGCCAGUAUUUGCACCUGAGCCCAUACGUUUCCAUCCCUUCAGGCAUCUGGUCCCCAUUCUGGAUUUGAUUUUCUGAAACAUUCACUUAGAAAGCAUUGACUAGCUAUACAUAUUUUUCUCCUCAACUAUCUAUAGUGGCCCCUAGGACCAGGCGGAUGGGAUUUAGCAUCCCUGUCAGCAUCCUUGGCUUUGAAUAUGAGGGAAAGCUUUUAGGGAGUUGUUGUUUGGUGAGGCUCCAGCACUCUUUGGCAGAGAAGUGUAAAAGCCUUGUAAAAUUACAAUCCCCUCAGUUCCAUAUCACUGAGCCAUAGUAAUUAGAGUGAUGUGAAAUUGCAUUAGUUCCACAGUGUAGAUGCACCCCAAGUGUGAGAUACUUUUGAACUUUAAACUCAGUUUGCAUCAACGGAUGUGUAGCUUUCCCUUUCCUGAAACCAGCUUGCUGUAGGAUCAUAAAUGGGUCUAUUUGAAGCUGCAUACUACAAGUGCUGAACCUGACUCAGAACGUAGAAGAAGACAGCAAAUUACAGGAGCUACCUUCAUAGACAUGUCAGCAGCUUAUGAUACUGCAAAUCAUUGCCUCCUCCUGAGAAAAAUGUAUAAUAUUACAAAGGAUUACCACCUCACCUGCUUCAUAGAAAAUCUGCUACAAAACAGGAGCUUUUUUGUUGAUUUCCAGGGUCAAAGAAGCAGAUAAUAAUAAUAAUAAUAAUAACAAUAAUAAUAACAACAACUUUAUUUGUAUCCCGCCACCAUCUCCCCCGGAGGGGACUCGGGGCGGCUCACAGAAAUAUCAAAUACAAAACAAUAACAAUAUACAAUACAUCAAUAAACAAUAACAUGCGCCAAUUGUAAUAUUUGCAAAUUAACAAAAAAGAAUAAAAACACUUAUUAAAAACAUAGAAUUUAAAACCACUGAGAUUGUAAUAGUAGAUUAGCAAAGUGCACAUCAUAGGUUGUAAACUCAAAACAUAAAGUGCUACAGAUUCGUUUGAUGACAAAAACAGAAGAAUGGCCUGCCUCAGGGGAGUGUGCUUGCUCCAUCAAUGUUUAACAUUUACACAAAUGAUCAGCCACUGCCAGAAGGGACAGAGAGUUUAAUCUAUGCUAACAAUUGUGCCAUCACCACUCAAGCAGGGAGCUUUGAAAUGGUUGAACAGAAGCGCUCCGAAGCUUUAGGUGCUCUUACUGCCUAUUACAGAGAAAACCAGCUGAUUCCUAAUCCAUCUAAAACACAGACGUGUUUUUCAUCUUAAGAACAAACAAGUAUUUUGAGCUCUGAGGAUUACCUGGGAAGGAAUCCCACUGGAGCAUUGCAGCACACUAAAACACCUGGGAGUCACUCUGGACUGUGCUCUGAUUUAUAAGAAGCACUGCUUGAAUAUCAAGCAAAAUGUGGGUGCUAGGAAUAAUAUCAUACGAAAGCUGACUGGCACAACCUGGAGAUCACAACCAGACACAGUGAAGACAUCUGCCCUUGCACUUUGCUACUGUGCUGCUGAGUAUGCAUGCCCAGUUUGGAAUACAUGUACCAUGUUAAAAUAGUAGAUGUGGCUGUUAAUGAGACAUGCUGCAUUAUCACAGGAUGUCUGUGCCCAACACUGCUGCAGAAAUUAUACUGUUUAGCCAGUAUUGCAUCACCUGAUAUCCGCCGGGAAGUAGUAGCCAGCAAUGAAAGGACCAAGGCAGUGACAUCUCCAGUCCAUCAUCUGUUUGUAUAUCAGCCAGCAUGCCAAUGACUUAAAUCAAGAAACAGCUUCUUAAGAUCUACAGAGAUACUCGCAGGAACACCUCAACAAGUCAGAGUCCAAAAUGGUGGGUAAAAACCCGGAACCUCAAUCAGUGGCUGAUACCGGAUGAGAGAUUCUCUCCUGAGCACACAAAAGACUGGACACCUUGGAAGGCACUGAACAGACUGCUCUGGUACCAAGAAUCUUAAGAAAUGGGGUUAUAAAGUGAAGGCCACAACAUGCAGGUAUGGAGAAGAACAAACCACAGACCACUUAUUAGUCUGGACCCUGCCAUAUGCACAAUGGAGGACCUUCUUACAGUGACACCAGAGGCACUUGAAUUGGCCAGCUUCUCGUCAAAGUUUUUAACUUUGUGGUUUUUUAUACAUUAUAAUUGUAUUCUCAA